UUAAGCGACUAAGCGUACACGGUGGAUGCCCUGGCAGUCAGAGGCGAUGAAGGACGUGCUAAUCUGCGAUAAGCGUCGGUAAGGUGAUAUGAACCGUUAUAACCGGCGAUUUCCGAAUGGGGAAACCCAGUGUGUUUCGACACACUAUCAUUAACUGAAUCCAUAGGUUAAUGAGGCGAACCGGGGGAACUGAAACAUCUAAGUACCCCGAGGAAAAGAAAUCAACCGAGAUUCCCCCAGUAGCGGCGAGCGAACGGGGAGGAGCCCAGAGCCUGAAUCAGUGUGUGUGUUAGUGGAAGCGUCUGGAAAGGCGCGCGAUACAGGGUGACAGCCCCGUACACAAAAAUGCACAUAUUGUGAGCUCGAUGAGUAGGGCGGGACACGUGGUAUCCUGUCUGAAUAUGGGGGGACCAUCCUCCAAGGCUAAAUACUCCUGACUGACCGAUAGUGAACCAGUACCGUGAGGGAAAGGCGAAAAGAACCCCGGCGAGGGGAGUGAAAAAGAACCUGAAACCGUGUACGUACAAGCAGUGGGAGCCUCUUUUAUGGGGUGACUGCGUACCUUUUGUAUAAUGGGUCAGCGACUUAUAUUCUGUAGCAAGGUUAACCGAAUAGGGGAGCCGAAGGGAAACCGAGUCUUAACUGGGCGUUAAGUUGCAGGGUAUAGACCCGAAACCCGGUGAUCUAGCCAUGGGCAGGUUGAAGGUUGGGUAACACUAACUGGAGGACCGAACCGACUAAUGUUGAAAAAUUAGCGGAUGACUUGUGGCUGGGGGUGAAAGGCCAAUCAAACCGGGAGAUAGCUGGUUCUCCCCGAAAGCUAUUUAGGUAGCGCCUCGUGAACUCAUCUCCGGGGGUAGAGCACUGUUUCGGCAAGGGGGUCAUCCCGACUUACCAACCCGAUGCAAACUGCGAAUACCGGAGAAUGUUAUCACGGGAGACACACGGCGGGUGCUAACGUCCGUCGUGAAGAGGGAAACAACCCAGACCGCCAGCUAAGGUCCCAAAGUCAUGGUUAAGUGGGAAACGAUGUGGGAAGGCCCAGACAGCCAGGAUGUUGGCUUAGAAGCAGCCAUCAUUUAAAGAAAGCGUAAUAGCUCACUGGUCGAGUCGGCCUGCGCGGAAGAUGUAACGGGGCUAAACCAUGCACCGAAGCUGCGGCAGCGACGCUGAUGCGUUGUUGGGUAGGGGAGCGUUCUGUAAGCCUGUGAAGGUGUGCUGUGAGGCAUGCUGGAGGUAUCAGAAGUGCGAAUGCUGACAUAAGUAACGAUAAAGCGGGUGAAAAGCCCGCUCGCCGGAAGACCAAGGGUUCCUGUCCAACGUUAAUCGGGGCAGGGUGAGUCGACCCCUAAGGCGAGGCCGAAAGGCGUAGUCGAUGGGAAACAGGUUAAUAUUCCUGUACUUGGUGUUACUGCGAAGGGGGGACGGAGAAGGCUAUGUUGGCCGGGCGACGGUUGUCCCGGUUUAAGCGUGUAGGCUGGUUUUCCAGGCAAAUCCGGAAAAUCAAGGCUGAGGCGUGAUGACGAGGCACUACGGUGCUGAAGCAACAAAUGCCCUGCUUCCAGGAAAAGCCUCUAAGCAUCAGGUAACAUCAAAUCGUACCCCAAACCGACACAGGUGGUCAGGUAGAGAAUACCAAGGCGCUUGAGAGAACUCGGGUGAAGGAACUAGGCAAAAUGGUGCCGUAACUUCGGGAGAAGGCACGCUGAUAUGUAGGUGAAGUCCCUCGCGGAUGGAGCUGAAAUCAGUCGAAGAUACCAGCUGGCUGCAACUGUUUAUUAAAAACACAGCACUGUGCAAACACGAAAGUGGACGUAUACGGUGUGACGCCUGCCCGGUGCCGGAAGGUUAAUUGAUGGGGUCAGCGCAAGCGAAGCUCUUGAUCGAAGCCCCGGUAAACGGCGGCCGUAACUAUAACGGUCCUAAGGUAGCGAAAUUCCUUGUCGGGUAAGUUCCGACCUGCACGAAUGGCGUAAUGAUGGCCAGGCUGUCUCCACCCGAGACUCAGUGAAAUUGAACUCGCUGUGAAGAUGCAGUGUACCCGCGGCAAGACGGAAAGACCCCGUGAACCUUUACUAUAGCUUGACACUGAACAUUGAGCCUUGAUGUGUAGGAUAGGUGGGAGGCUUAGAAGUGUGGACGCCAGUCUGCAUGGAGCCGACCUUGAAAUACCACCCUUUAAUGUUUGAUGUUCUAACGUUGACCCGUGAUCCGGGUUGCGGACAGUGUCUGGUGGGUAGUUUGACUGGGGCGGUCUCCUCCUAAAGAGUAACGGAGGAGCACGAAGGUUGGCUAAUCCUGGUCGGACAUCAGGAGGUUAGUGCAAUGGCAUAAGCCAGCUUGACUGCGAGCGUGACGGCGCGAGCAGGUGCGAAAGCAGGUCAUAGUGAUCCGGUGGUUCUGAAUGGAAGGGCCAUCGCUCAACGGAUAAAAGGUACUCCGGGGAUAACAGGCUGAUACCGCCCAAGAGUUCAUAUCGACGGCGGUGUUUGGCACCUCGAUGUCGGCUCAUCACAUCCUGGGGCUGAAGUAGGUCCCAAGGGUAUGGCUGUUCGCCAUUUAAAGUGGUACGCGAGCUGGGUUUAGAACGUCGUGAGACAGUUCGGUCCCUAUCUGCCGUGGGCGCUGGAGAACUGAGGGGGGCUGCUCCUAGUACGAGAGGACCGGAGUGGACGCAUCACUGGUGUUCGGGUUGUCAUGCCAAUGGCACUGCCCGGUAGCUAAAUGCGGAAGAGAUAAGUGCUGAAAGCAUCUAAGCACGAAACUUGCCCCGAGAUGAGUUCUCCCUGACUCCUUGAGAGUCCUGAAGGAACGUUGAAGACGACGACGUUGAUAGGCCGGGUGUGUAAGCGCAGCGAUGCGUUGAGCUAACCGGUACUAAUGAACCGUGAGGCUUAACCUU
rnacentral:rRNA from 1 species